ACUUUAAAUCCUUUAACAAGGAACAAUUGGAGGGCAAGUCUGGUGCCAGCAGCCGCGGUAAUUCCAGCUCCAAUAGCGUAUAUUAAAGUUGUUGCGGUUAAAAAGCUCGUAGUUGGAUCUCACCGAGUAGGGGGUGGUUCGUUUUUUGAUGUUACUACUCCAUUUACUCGUGAUUAUUGACUGAGGUGUUACGGUGAUCUUCAAUGUUUUGUCGUAACGGCUCGUCAGGUUUACUUUGAAAAAAUUAGAGUGCUCAAAGCAGGCUUUUACAGCUUGAAUAUUCGUGCAUGGAAUAAUAGAAUAGGAUGUCGUUUCUAUUUUGUUGGUUUUCGGAAAUCGACAUAAUGAUUAAUAGGGACAGUCGGGGGCAUUAGUAUUCGGACGACAGAGGUGAAAUUCUUGGACCGUUUGAAGACUAACUACUGCGAAAGCAUUUGCCAAGAAUGUUUUCAUUAAUCAAGAACGAAAGUUAGAGGUUCGAAGGCGAUCAGAUACCGCCCUAGUUCUAACCAUAAACAAUGCCAGCUAGCGAUCCGCUGCUGUUUUUUAUUACGGCACAGCGGGAAGCUUCCGGGAAACCAAAGCUUUUGGGUUCCGGGGGAAGUAUGGUUGCAAAUCUGAAACUUAAAGCAAUUGACGGAAGGG
rnacentral:rRNA from 2 species